rnacentral:misc_RNA from 1 species
GAUGAAGAACGCAGCGAAAUGCGAUAAGUAGUGUGAAUUGCAGAAUUCAGUGAAUCAUCGAAUCUUUGAACGCACAUUGCGCCCCUUGGUAUCCCGAGGGGCAUGCCUGUUCGAGCGUCAUUUCACCACUUAAGCCUGGCUUGGUGUUGGGCGACGUCCUCUUUGGGGACGCGCCUCGAAACGCUCGGCGGCGUGGCACCGGCUUUAAGCGUAGCAGAAUCUUUCGCUUUGGAAGUCGGGGCCCCGUCUGCCGGAAGACCUGCUCGCAAGGUUGACCUCGGAUCAGGCAGGGAUACCCGCUGAACUUAAGCAUAUCAAUAAGCGGAGGA